rnacentral:rRNA from 1 species
CUGAGAGGAUGACCAGCCACACUGGAACUGAGACACGGUCCAGACUCCUACGGGAGGCAGCAGUGGGGAAUAUUGCACAAUGGGCGCAAGCCUGAUGCAGCCAUGCCGCGUGUAUGAAGAAGGCCUUCGGGUUGUAAAGUACUUUCAGCGGGGAGGAAGGGAGUAAAGUUAAUACCUUUGCUCAUUGACGUUACCCGCAGAAGAAGCACCGGCUAACUCCGUGCCAGCAGCCGCGGUAAUACGGAGGGUGCAAGCGUUAAUCGGAAUUACUGGGCGUAAAGCGCACGCAGGCGGUUUGUUAAGUCAGAUGUGAAAUCCCCGGGCUCAACCUGGGAACUGCAUCUGAUACUGGCAAGCUUGAGUCUCGUAGAGGGGGGUAGAAUUCCAGG